CCCGCUAAAUUUAGCGUGAUAAUUUUCCCGCUAAAUUUAGUGGGGAAUUUGUUCCGAUAAAUUUAGCGGGAAAUUUUUCCGCUAAAUUUAGCGGG
rnacentral:pre_miRNA from 1 species